AUUUAAAGUAAAACCUGCUCCAUGAUUUAAAUAGCCGCAGACAUCUGUGCUAAGGUAGCAUAAUCAUUAGCCUUAUAAUUGAAGGAUAGUAUGAAAGGUUAAACACAUAUUCACUGUCUCACUCAAACUCCCAAAAUUAAAAUAAAGGUAAAAAUUCCUUUACUUCCGGUAAGACGACAAGACCCUGAUAAACUUAACAUUUCGCUGGGGAGGCAAAUUAAAAAAACCUUACAAUAAAAAAAACUUUUCCUACCAAAAGAAUUAGUUACUACAGGGAUAACAGCGCAACUUUUUCUAAGAGCCCGUAUCUAAGAAAACCUCUACGACCUCGAUGUUGAAUCAAUUUCACUAAAAAGAAGCAGAAAUCUUUCAAGUUGGUCUGUUCGACCAUUAAAAAAUU
rnacentral:rRNA from 1 species